UACGAAGGGGGCGAGCGUUGUUCGGAUUUACUGGGCGUAAAGGGCGCGCAGGCGGCACAUUUUGUCAGGCGUGAAAGCCCCGGGCUUAACCUGGGAACUGCGUUUGAUACGGAUGGGCUAGAGUUCGGGAGAGGAGAGUGGAAUUCCCAGUGUAGAGGUGAAAUUCGUAGAUAUCAGGAGGAACACCAAUGGCGAAGGCAGCACUCUGGGACGUGACUGACGCUGAGACGCGAAAGCGUGGGGAGCAAACAGG
rnacentral:rRNA from 1 species